rnacentral:rRNA from 1 species
UACGAAGGAUGCAAGCGUUAUCCGGAUUUAUUGGGUUUAAAGGGUGCGUAGGCGGACUUAUAAGUCAGUGGUGAAAUCUCGUUGCUUAACAACGAACGUGCCAUUGAUACUGUAGGUCUUGAGUACAGAUGCCGUUGGCGGAAUGUGUCAUGUAGCGGUGAGAUGCAUAGAUAUGACACAGAACACCGAUUGCGAAGGCAGCUGACGAAACUGUAACUGACGCUGAGGCACGAAAGCGUGGGGAUCAAACAGG